UUUGUUCCCUAAAUAGGGACUUGUAUGAAUGGCCACACGAGGGCUUUACUGUCUCUUACUUCCAAUCCGUGAAAUUGACCUUCCCGUGAAGAGGCGGGAAUACAACAACAAGACGAGAAGACCCUAUGGAGCUUUAAUUAACCGACCCAAAGAGACCCUAUUAACUUAACCGACAGGAACAACAAACCUCUACAUGGGCCGACAAUUUAGGUUGGGGUGACCUCGGAGAAUAAAAAAACCUCCGAGUGAUUUAAAUCAAGACUAACCAGUCAAAAGUAUUACAUCACUUAUUGAUCCAAAAACUUGAUCAACGGAAUAAGUUACCCUAGGGAUAACAGCGCAAUCCUAUUUCAGAGUCCAUAUCGACAAUAGGG
rnacentral:rRNA from 1 species